GUGGACAUAAACAUUGAGUGGAACCGAAACAUCUGGCAGUUUGACUCCCAAGCUUUUUUCUGCGUCUUGGAAAUAUACAUGAACACAGGGAACCAACCCGAAUAAUGGAACAACUGGAAAUUAUAACUGCUUAUAUAACGCAGUUUAAAGUUGCGUAUGUGUCUAUUGCAAGAAAAAAUAUAAAGAGACAAUAUGCUGUAUAAAACAACUAUAAUCUCUCACGAAUGCAUUUAAAUAUUGUAGCAUAUGCUUAAAAAUGGGUGAUUGGAGCCCAACUGAGAUGCAGUGAUUGUGAAUUAAUUAUUUCCGACAUGAUUGUGACAGUUGGCUUCCCGUUGAUUGGCCCUUUUAUGUACAAUUCCCACACCCAUCCAGUCCAUUCUAUGGAAAGGUCCGCUCAUCUCCUUAGCCAAGCCGAGUUUAUGCGUGCUAGUAACUUAAAAUAGUCCAAAAAUAACAGCAUGCCUACAGGCAGGGAUACCUCGAGGUGAUGUAAGACCGCGAGCAGAGCUUUCAGGCAGAGAAGGACCUAUUGGAUCUAGCGUUAGUGUUAUUGCUAAAUUCUGCUCAUUUUGAUUGAAGCGAGACCAGGAAUAUACAGGAAAAAAAGCCUACUUACUUGCAUCACCGGGACAAAUUUGCACAUUUUGAAUAGAAUUCUGUGUUUUACUCACCUUGGGGGACACUGUUGGAGUAACAAAUUGUUGUGGGUGGGGACAUAUCCCAUCUGCCACUGCCCGAAUUCUUUGGGUUAGCAGCUCUCCACAUGGCUCAGUUAAAGGCGCUACAUGGUCAAUCUGCAGAAGUUAGAUCAUUCAUACUUCUUGCGCUUCGCUGAGCAGCGCAGGGCUGUUAUCAAGGAAGUGAGUUUGUGUUUAUGCUGGACCUCCAGCCCUCACCUACCACCACCCAAUAAUUUCAAUGCGGAGCUAUAUGUAGCCCUCCACAUUGUUACAUUUGAGAGGCGCUUGGUGAUGCGGUACGGAGCUCAAUUUGGCCUCUGGGUCCCUCUGGAGACUCCGCGAUUGCAUCACAAUAUCCAUACGACGCCUCCGAAUACAUUUUCGGAUCAAGCAUAAAUUGGCACUCGUGCCUGCUUUCACCGCGUGAGAAGCGACUCUCUGGAACUGUAGAGAUGCAUGAGAAACCACACUCCAAACUGCAGGAGCAUGCUACAGUCGAACAAGGCAUCGCAACGAACUGACUGGACUUUUAAUCCACACCAACGGAUUUAUACGGUUUAAAUCGAUGUUUAUUAAUUAAGCAGGUUUCGUCGGCAUCUGCUCCGUGGUUCGUUGACUGUUGGAUCUCAUUGGAUAGCAUAUCCCUUGACCCACGGCCAGAUGUGCGUGCUGUGCGUUAUGGAGUUAUAUAUCGAGUUAUGUUCAGCUGUGGAUCGAUUUACGCAUGCUUGAGGUUCAACAUUUAGAUGUUGACAUCCUACUUGGAUCUCUUUUUACUCACCAUGCUUAUGGAUAUUCAUAUCCCGCGGACCCAUUGGCGACAGUUUCCCAGGAGUUGGGUUAUAACUAUAGAACGCAUCAGCAUCAAUGACACAGGUGGAUGUCAACACGCGCAUUUUUUACAACUUGCCACAUAACGGCCCUUUGCUUAAUGUAAGAAGAAACUCGAUUUUGGAUUGUAAAAUGGCACACCUGGAUAAGACGUGGCAAGAACAUAAUUUUGAAGUGGCCUUACAGCUGGUGCGCUGCCUACCCAUUCCAGCAGAGGAGCCGCUGGGGCCUGAGCCGUCGAUGGAGGCGGCUAUUACUGAGGUGAUGGAGGACAUUGGACGAAGUGGACUACCUUUUGGGAGUGGCUCCAGCUGCAGGCCACCCCUUUCCUGGUUGACGCCCUGGGGUGCAGUUUCCCUGAUGGCUGGGGGAGCUCUACCCUGCUGACCCUCGAGGAGGAGUGCUUCAGGGGCCAGAGAUUCCUGCUGCAUCUGCUGGGACCCGACAUCUCACCAGGGUGGGAGCCACGUUCCUGUCAUCUUGAGUGUGCGGAGUAGGAGUACUGCUGGUUCUGUCUGGAAAGCGACCAUGGCUCUGGGCCUGACGUCCCAAAUCGUCUCCCUACUGAUGUGGCCACUGUCGUCAGAUCAGAUGGGCUAGCCAACGGUGUUUUUCUCCAGCCUUGGAGGGCCUACCUACCGACUCAAGUGCGUAACAAAUGCCUUGGCGAGUCAGAAUGCCCGGAGCAAAUUAAACAACAGGGAAUUCCGGUCACCGCCACCUCCUCGGUGACAAACACUCUGCCAUGGUAAUGGCAGGAAAACAGGACAGCCGUGAAGUCAAUUCGGCCCUGGACGUGAUAUGAAGAAAUGGUGUGAGGACAAGACCCCCAAGCCUCUCCCUCUACUGAAAGCUGAGUGGGACAGAGAGGGUGUGAAGAAAGACGCCCCCCUCUACCCCUUAGUCCGGAAGAGAGACGUAUUAACCAGUUGAAAGAAAGUGACUCACACUCUCCUCUCUGCUCAUCCAUCCCAUCCCUCAUUCCCAUCUGGUUUGUAUUUCUUUGGAUGUUUCUCCACCUCCAGCCUCUGGGUAGUACCAGCGCCAAGGCCCAGAUGGCUGCCGACCCAGCCCCACCACGGAGAGUGUACACUGGGUUGGAAAACGCCUGGGCUUGCCUCUUGGCUGGGGUAUGGAUGGUGGGGUAUGGUUGGGAAGGGAAGGGCGGACUUGGCUGGUGAUGGGACUUGGAUGGACCGCACUCCGGCGCCGACGCAACAUCCAUCGAUCAUCCAUCGCAUUCAUUGGUAGUUGAUACCCUCCGUGGUGAGGGCGAGAGCCCAGUCGUGUUGAGGGGUGUUGCGGCGUGGACAGUCAGAGAGGACGCCACAGACUGGCCAGACGUCCCCUAGAUCAGUAACUGAGACUGGCAUCUCAAGGAACUGGCGCGGGCAUCAGUACCAGACUGGUAAACUGGCAUGAGAAACUAUUUUAGCAUCUAAAUACCAUGUCUAAAUGUAAUGGUUUUCAGCUCCAGAAGUCAGCAUGGAGAAGCUGAUUGGUGCUGUAUUGUAGUCUGUUUUUAACAGACAAGAGACAUAUGAUAUCAGGACGACCUACUUUUGAUGACACACUUGUGUUUGAAGCUCAGAGGGAGAACACACUGGUGAAGGAAGUAUUAUUAUCCUCUUAUGGCGGCAAUCCCCGUACAGGGAUCAACAGCAGGGGAAAUUUCUGAGUGACUAACUAAAAAUACAACGUCGUAACAUUUAAACAUUCUUGAAAAUGCAAGUGUCUUACAUCCUUCAAAAGAUUAGAAUCUUGGUAAUCAAACUACGUUUACCGAUUUCAAAUAGCUAUUACAGAGGACAAAUGCCAUGCUUUUGUUUGAGAAGAGCGAUCAUCAACAACAAACAUUUUCCGCCAUGACAGUUUUGACACAUUCACAUCUGAAGGUAAAAUUAUGACUUACAUUCUGAUAUCUUGCUCUUAUCUCUCUUCCUGAGGGUCCCAGUGAUCAAAUGAAGUGCCGUUUUCUUUGAUAAAAUCCAUUUUCAUAGCCUAAAACAAAACAUUUUGUAAACCGUUUGUGUCUUGAAUUCCAUCUCUAUCAACUUUUGACGGAGCAUUCAACGUAAUUACACACACUAAACAAUUAUUUAUCUAGUCAUAGUUGGUUUCAGUGCAAUGCUCUGGAUGUUUGCAACACAGCCAAACUUGAUUGUUUUUUUUGCGGGGAGUAUUGACUGAAGUGAACUGAUUUGAAGACAACGAGCAAUGACUACAUUGCGCACCAAUAAUAUGAGCGAAGCUUCGUUGAUUGACUGUAUUUCUGCCCAAUGACCACUGAUCUUCUUGAAAUCUAGCUGCGUAGAUAGCCAAUGAGCUGAGGUAAACGUCAGUAUGUGAUGGUUAUGGGUUGGACCACCAUCCCUUGUUUGUAAACGCAUGCGUAACAAACUUCGUUCUCGUCAUUGACCGUCAGAGUAGUUGCAGUCACGCUUGUUACGCACAACAGUGUUUUGGAAAGUAGUAUUUUGGAAAGUGUUUUUUUCAACGAUUUCAUUGAAGACAUCAUAGCGAAUAAAUCAGGAAAAACGAAGUCCUAGUCUAAGUAUACAGAUUUGCACGAGAUUAUAGAAGAGAUUGAUCAGGAAAGUGAGACAGAUUUUUGUUUGAAGAAUCUUUGAGUGAACACAGUUAUGAUUCAAACAUUGAGCUGUUUCUGCAAGGACAGGAUGUACUUCUGGACUGGUAAGUGUUAAUGCCGUUUUAUGAAAUAUAAAUAUAUAUAAUAUUAUUAUUAUUAUUAUUAUUUUUCAAUUUGCAAUGAAAAGUGUAAAUUACUCAUUGGCUAUAGUGUUUGUGUGUGUGUAUGUGUGUGUGUGUGUGUGUGUGUGUGUGUGUGUGUGUGUGUUGUUGGCUUGUUUGGGUGUGUGUGCUUGUAUGUGUAUGUGUGCGUAUAUAUAUAUAUAUUAUAUAUAUUAUAUAUAUAUUCCAUGUCAGAUAUAUAUAUUUUCCAUUUUUUAUUCAAAUGGAAUGGAGUAGAACAGCAAACACACACAUGGCCACUGCGCCUGCUACUCCUCUCUAUUUCCAUAUGAAAUAGCCAUUGGAUGCUGCUGGGGGGAUGGCAGGCCCACAACAAUGGCUGGAGUUGAAUGGAACAGCACUUCACCUUAGUGACUGUUCCUUCUGCUCUAUACAAUACAUAUCUGUUUAUUUUAUGUGAUGAUAAAAGGCUCAUACAAUACAAAUAUUUUUUUAAAUGUUUUCUUUCACAGUGAUAGCGACUCCGACUGGGAGCCCCCGUUGCCAACCUGCCCCAUCUACUCCUGCCUCCAGUGGUGUUCAUAUGCCACAGUUCAUUACUGCAGGCAUGACUGUGCCUCAGGGCCAAAAGGGCACAGCAUGGAGGCGUCGUUGUGUUCUGUGUCGCAUGAAGUCCCCAUCACCUACACCACUUGUUCAGUUUGCCUCUGCUUUACAUCAGAAAGAGACUGCUAUGGGACAUGGCACAAGGCAGCAAAAUAUUGUGUAGAGGACUUCCAAAGGUUAAAUAUUUUUUUCUAAUAUUUAAAAAAAAAUGUAUACAUUUUUUUGUGUGUUAGAAUUGCUUUUUAAUAUGUUGUAUAUAGUUAUUUGCACUGUUGUAUAUAGUUAUAGGUCAUUUCACCAAUUCGGCCACUUGGGUACAUUUGGGCAACUUGUGUGGGACACCUGGGUGACUUCAUGCUAAAUGUCAUGUAGCUCACCCAUUCCUGAAGUUAUCAGUCUGAAAUGUUGCACACCUACAGUUGCCCUCUUGUGUUAUCCAUCAAAAUUAUAUCCAGCAUCCUAUCUGACUGUGUGGCUAUUCUAUUACAUGUGAAAGAUGAUGCUACAACAAUAAAAAACAGAAAACGUA